ensembl:lncRNA
GCCCCAGCAGAAGAGGUUGGAUGGGCUGGGCAAGACGUCAUAGACGGACGCAAUCAGGAACUUGAUCCGGUAAGGCUCAGCUUGCCAAAGCUCAGACCAGGAGAUCUUGCGGUCCACUGCCUGUUCCCAUCUCGUCCAUGCGCCUUGCUGUCGCAUCCCCACCAUCUGGCUAGCACGCAGUUCCUCCACGCCAGUUCUCACUUCCUCUUGGACCAAUCGGCGUCUGUCUUUGCCCAGGGCUUUGUCGUAGCGUGUGGUUGCAACGCUACCAAGCCCUGCUCGUCCAGAUGCCACUGGGCCGACCAGCACGCUGUGACGCAAGCGUGACUCCGCCUGCUCGACUGCUUCCUGCGCCCUCCACUUCCUUCCAGUCCUGACUUCGAUGCCAGCCUGGGAGACCUUUGGAUCACUGGAUUCCCUGUACUGCAGCACCUCUCUUGCACGGGUUACCAUGAACUCCUCAUUCAGGCUGCUAAUGGGGAGCUUCAGUUUGUUGUUGUGCCCGUAUAGAGCGAUGCUACUCAGGCUCGUGGCAGGCCCAGCCAUCUACGAAGCACAGUACUCGGACCUCUCACAUUUGGGUGCCAACUUUGUCGGACUACUUCGAACAGCACACCGUAGCCUACUCGGACCUCUCACUGUGGGUGCCAACUUUGUCAGACUACUUCGAACAGACAAUUAUCGCACAGCAUCACCUACUUUCACCUCGUCACCUCUCGGGGGCCCUGUAUGUGAAGCAGUAUAAAGAAGAGGAAGAGGAAGAAACUACCAACAUGGACGACCACCAUAAGGACUGGUUACGGCUGAAGGGGAAGGUGAAGUUGGUCAACACCUCUGGCCAACUCCUCAAUAAGAUCCAGGCAUGGCUGGAGAAGAAGGAGAAUUGUGCAAAGAAUCUAUGGAAGCUGGUAAAAGAACUGGAGGACCUCAGACAGAUAUGUAACGCUGGGGAAUGCGUAGGGAACACUGUAUCUGUCAUAGGCGCUGCGUGUCUUCUAGGGGGCAUGGUGGCCACCUUUUGCACAGCAGGGGCUGCAGCCCCGCUUCUGGGUGGGCUCGGGGUGGCAUACUUGGGUACAGGCACCACAAUCAGCUUGACCACAAAGCUAAUCGAACAUUUUGUGUCCGGCAGCAGUAUGGAAGAUGCAAAGAAGGCGGCAAAGGAGAGCGAAAUAAUUGAAGAGGAAAUAUUGGAACUGAUAGAAAAGCUAAAGAUGGAGAGAGUGAACCCUAUGCAAGAUGCAAGUGAGUACAUUGCAAUGUGUAUUUUUGAAGCCAUGUCGGGGAUGGGUCACAAAGGGCGGCUCCUGCAUGGUUUUAUUAAAGUUGGUGAUACUCUAAUGGCACUAUGUAGUUUUUUCGUAAUUUUGAGCCUUAAAAAACGAGGAAAAAUAUCAACAAUGCUGGUGACAACGAUAAUACAGGAACUUGCAGUCGCCGGAGGAAAGUUUGCAGCUAAAGGAUUAUGUAUGGCAGUGGCAGGAGGGAUUGGAAUGGUAUUCGCACUUCCGGAGUCGAUUGACAGCUGGAAGGAGCUUGUCACAAAAAAGCAUGUGACUGAAGCCAGCCAAUCACUGAAGAACACAGCUGAAAACAUUGAUCAGUUCUGCAAGGACCUGAGGAACAAUCUUAAAAGGAUUCAGGAGGACAUUGAACAGAUGAACCAGCAAAUGAACCAGCAGACGACCAACAAUAAAGAAAACCAGAGCAAUCAGAACCAGCAGACCAACAGCCAUCAAGGAGACCAGAGAAAUCAGAACCAGCAGACCAAUAGCAAACCAGGGGAUGAUGAUGAGGAGGACAAGCAGCAGAACAACAGGGGGCAUUUGGACAUCCAGUUUACGGACAGCGAUGAGGAGAGUGACAGCGACGAGGAGAGUGACAGCGAUGAGGAGAGCGACAGUGACGAGGAAGGCUAUUUGCAGAUGGGACUGUUCAAUAUGAGGUCCAUGGUCCAAAAGGCUGAUAUGGUAUCGGAAGUCAUCCAAACAAACAUGCUCGAUGUCUUUCUCACCACAGAAACCUGGUUAAGGCCUUUAAAUUUCGAGACAGUGCUCCGCUUGUCCCCCUAACUUUGAAUUCCACCAUCAGGCCAGACCAAAGGGGCCUGAUGGUAAAGAAAGAAGAGGCGGCGGCGUGGCCAUCCAACACAGGGAUGUGUACAUCGGCCAAGAGAUAAGGGUUCCAUUCGAUACAGCGUUUGAGUAUGUGGCCGUGGUCCUGGAAAACGACCAGUGGGAGGUUCCCGUCCUCUUGGUCAACGUGUACUUUCCUCCGGGAUACAACCGGGUACAAUUUCAGCGGUUUGUAUAUGACUUCAGCAAGCUGCUGGACAAUUUAGAGGAGAGGGGAUACGACCACGUCAUCUUCACAGGUGAUUUCAAUAUCCACAUGGACGAAGGCAUGCAGUCCUCUGCCAUAGAGUUUCAUUGGCUGUUAAAUAAUAGGGGUCUUGAGCUACGUACCAACGGGCCAACACGUUAUCCAGGGAGACACACACUGGACCUGGUCUUCACCCGGAAUGUGGAUAUUCGCAAUUUAUCCUAUGAAUACACUCCCGUUGAGGAACGUGUCUCGGAUCAUGUGAUUAUUUUAUUCCAAGCCACUCCGAUAUCAAUAGACAAAAAAAAAAAAAAAAAAGAGAAAAAGAGGAAAUUCAUACGAAAAAAAUAAAAUAUUAAUAAUAAAUAUAGCUGCAUGCAGCAAUGUGGGUGUCAAGCAUAAUGGGACUCUAUAAACAAAUUCUGCCGGGCGGACAUAAUCGGCUAGGUGGCUACAUGACGACCGUAUCGGUAAUCGGAAGGACGUAAUGGGCUAGGUGCAUAAUGGGACUCGAUAAACUAAUUCUGCCGGACGGACGUAAUUGGCUAGGUGGCUACAUGACAACCGUCUCGGUAAUCGGUAAUAACGACGGCUGGUGGAAUGAACUAGAGCAUUAUGCAAGUACGCGGACGUAAUCGGCUAGGUGGCUACAUGACGACUGUAUCGGCUAGGUGGCUACAUGACGACCGUUUCGGUAAUCGGUAAUAACGACGGCUUUUGAAAUGAACUCAUUAUGCGAGUACGCAGACGUAAUCUUCGCUGCUUGACACCCAAUAAGUAAAUUAAACUAAUAAUAGAUGAAACCCCUAUUGCAGGCAGGACAUUUUUUAGCAUAUAUAUUCCCCAUGCUUUGAAUCUAUAUGUAGUGUUAAGGGAUUUUAUAGGACAUAGGAUGUGACGUUCCCCCCUGGGGAUUAGGCUUGGUGGGUUGAAAACCCUGGAACACUGGAAUAAAGUCAUGCUUCAAGAGUACACGCUGUAAACCUCUCACCCUGCUUAUUUAUAAGUUACCUAAAUCUACACUAUCCAAUUCUGAUAUUAAGACAUUUUGAAUCAACCGCCUUGAUAGAUUAUUGCUUCAUUAGUCAUCAUUUUUAACCAAGUGCCAAAUAUCCAUAUGAAAUCAUAGAUGCAUAGUUUUUUUCGAAUAUUUAUUUUCUUAUAUUCUGCACUCAAUGUUUAUCAAAUCUGAAAAUAUAGUUUAGGGCUACGAUCAAAUUUAUUUUCUUAGACUUGAAUCAUUGGAAUUUAAGUAAAAAAGUUGGAUGUGACACAGUUUAGGGUUCCAAGGACCAUAGUCAAAAUUUGACCUUAGUGUGAAUAACAUCCAAUAAGAGAACUAACCGUGAAUAACAUAAUUGGGAAGAACUUCUGUUGGAAAGCCAGGGCAGCGGCCCACAUGGUGACAUGCAAAUGAAGGAAGAGGCUUCCUUUGCGUUCACACCAAAGCAAAUUUGCUGUGCAGCGCGUUCGCCUGAGUUUGCUUGCGCGAAUAGACAAACUUAACCGUGCGUUCACACCAAAAGCGAAUUUUGUCACGUGUUCGCCUGAGUUUGCUUGCGCGAGUAGUCAAACUUUACUUGCGGGAGUGAUUUGUGCAAGUUUGAUCAAGCAAAUUUACUCACGUGAGUGUAGGAGGAGGGGCUUCUCUUGAACGCCAAAGUUUCUUUACGGCAAUUUAUUCUCAACCAUGGCCACUACGAGUCUUUAUUUGUUCAGGAAGUACCAGAGAGGUCAGAGAACCCAACGCGGUCGUUUAAGGAUCAUAAUAUCAUCCGGAGGCGCACACAGCUUUUGGCUGCGUUUUAUACGAUUUCUAGAACACUCUGGCAGGAGCCCGGGAGUUCAGCUCCGGGGGUCCUUGACCUCCGACGCAAAAUCCGACCGAGCCAUUGUCGGGGUUGGUUCCGGAUCAAACAACGGGGUUGCCGUUUAAUCUGGACAUCAGGGGGUAAACGCCAGUGCUUAAUUUGAGCCGGAACACGCCAGGGGUCUCAUUUAUAACCGUUGCGUACGCACAAAACGGGGCUGAAAUUGGCGUACGUGACUUUCCACGCCAAGGUUGUGAUCUAUAAAAAACCAACUUGACGGGAGAAUGUGCGCAACGGAAGAAUUGUAGAGUGAGAAGAACGAUUAUGUUUUAUCAUCGCCCUUCAUAAAUUUAAUUUCAACCCGUAUCAUGCGUUAAAUCUAUGUAAUCAGAAUAAUUUAAGUCAACUGUGUUAUUUCUCAGUUAUAACUCCAGAAACAUCUCCUUAGAAUAGAAAUAAAAAAAAUUCUCUAUAUUUAAUCCCAUCACUCCAUACUGAUCACUGACGGCGCAACUGCAUGGAAUAAAGCAUCUGUCCAAAAUGUGUCAAUAACAUAAUAUUUUUAUGUGACACUGUAAACACAUAAUCAAAUGUCAAUUAAAUCCCAAGUGUGGAAAACCAAGCCACACUGCUCAUCAGAAUCGUUGUCCGUUACUCUUGAUGCUUUUCAUGACAAAUCAGGCAUUAAAAAGGGGUUAUGUUCAAGAACAUUUUACGUGGGUGAUUACAAACUGAUUAUCCAAGGUGUUCUCGGUCAGUCUUAUUACCGUAACCCUAUACAUACAGAGGUGAGCGCCGUGGUAAUGCUGCACCAUAUGGCACUUCUGGCGGACCAUGCAAAUGGCAGAAUUCGGAGGGAGAGGGUCUUUAGGGACCAUAACGAUUUAUUGGUAGGCUAAAUAAAAAUAUGCAGCCUACCUUUAUGUCAGACCACUUCUUUUUUAAUUCUGGGACUGUGCGCUCCGUGCUACUGACAGAGUUCACUGCUGCAGCAACAUGUUGCCACUAACUCUGCUUUUUGUUGUUGGCGAUCCCAAUCCCGUGACCGCCGAACAAAACUACUUUUCGGGACUCCAUCUCACCCACAAGUGUCUCCACUUUUCGCUUUUUUGCUUUUCUCAGACCUUCUGCCAUUGUUUCCGACAAGACAUAAUACUGAGUCUGUUUUAUAUGCAGAUCGCAUUCAUGAGGUCAUUUGCAUUGACCAUUUAUGGUUAAAAAGGGGUGUGUACAGGGCAGAACGUGAAGCUGAUUCAGCUGCGCACACUUGUAGGCACUCUGUGAUUUAUAAAGCAAAGAUUGCGUACGGUGUGCGUACGCAGGGUUUUAUAAAUCUGAAUAUUUUUUGGCGCACGCAAAACUUGGCUUUUGGGCGUAUGUACACUUUUAGUAACGAUCCCACGCACAGUUUUAUAAAUGAAAAAAAAAUUACUGUUUGUGUAGUGUUGAAGUUGUUAUCUGUGUUGUUAGUCAUUAUGACAACAAAUGCUGCUACUACACAGAUGACCAGUAUAACCGGGACAUUACAUCAAAGGGCAAACUAUCAAUUAUACACUUUAAUAGCAGGAGUAUGUAUACAAAUUUCAAUAAUAUCAAGGAAUAUGUAAAUAAAUUCACACAACCAUUACAACAUAAUUGCCAUAUCUGAAACAUGGAUCAACACGGACAAAGGGAUAGACUUCGAACUAAAUGGUUAUGAACUCAGGUAUAAUAACAGAAAAAACAAGGGUGGAGGAGGAGUAGCAAUAUAUGUGGAUGUGUCGUUAAACUUUAGGGUAUUGGAUUGUAUGACAACUGUGGUUGAUAACUUACUGGAAUGUAUAACAAUUGAAAUCUGUAAAGAAAAACACAAAAAUGUCAUAAUUAGCUGUAUAUAUAGGGCUCCUGGGUCUAGCAUUGAAAUAUUUAAUGAAUGGAUAGAGGGCAUGUUUUCUCAAAUAAAUAGCAAAAUAGUUUUUAUCUGUGGAGAUUUCAAUAUCGACCUGUUAAAUCCUAACAAACACAACAUUACAGAGGAAUUUGUCAAUACAAUGUACAGUAUGAGCCUAAUUCCGAAAAUCAUCAGACCCAGUAGAAUUACAUCCCACUGUGCCACUUUGAUUGAUAAUAUAUUCACAAAUGAAAUCGAAAACAACACAAUAAGUGGAUUAUUGAUUAAUGAUAUCAGUGACCACUUGCCAGUCUUUACAAUCUAUGACUGCAAUUACAAGAAUAAGCUAGAUAAUCAAACAGAUUACAAAAGAGUGAAGUCAGAAGAAUCCAUCAACGCCCUAAAAAACGACUUAGUGGCUCAGAACUGGGAAAUAAUACACCAAGCAAAUGACAUUGACUGUGCAUACGAAAAUUUUCUACGAAUAUUUAGGUCAUUAUAUGAUAAAAACUGUCCAAUUCAAGAAUACAUUAUACAACUAAAAUAUACCAAAUGUCCAUGGAUCACAAAGGGAUUGCGAAAUGCCUGUAAAAAGAAAAACACACUUUACAGAGAUUUCCUAAGACACAGAACUAAAGAUGCAGAGAAUAAAUAUAAAAUAUAUAAAAAUAAAUAAAUUAAUAUUAUAAGAACAAGCAAGAAAGAAUACUAUAAGAAAAUAUUAAAUGAUAACAAGAACAAUAUUAAAGGAAUAUGGAAUAUACUAAACAGUAUUAUAAGAAAUAGCCUAGGCAAAUAAGUUAUCCUAAGUAUUUUAUUGAUAAGGAUAAUGCAAAUUAUAAUAUGGAUGAUGUAGCUAACAGUUUUAAUCAAUUCUUUGUAAAUGUUGGACCUGAACUGGCAGAAAAAUUCCUGAUCCAGGGACAUCUGGUGAAGAUUAUAGUACAUUAUUGGAGAGAAAUCCCUACUCAAUGUUUCUCAAAGCAGUAGAGGAGAAAGAAAUAUUGGAUAUUGUUACAAAAUUUAAAAACAAAAAGUCUACUGAUCUUAAUGACCUCGACAUGACAUUGGUCAAGAAAGUCAUUGAGGGGAUUUCAAAACCAUUGACGUUUAUCUGUAAUUUAUCAUUUCAAACUGGUAAAUUUCCAAACAAAAUGAAAACAGCAAAAGUUAUACCACUGUACAAAACUGGGAACAAGCAUCACUUCACAAACUACAGACCAGUCUCGCUACUUCCACAGUUCUCAAAAAUAUUAGAAAAAAUCUUCAACAAUAGACUAGAUACAUUCUUAGAAAAGCACAAAUUAAUUAAUGACAGUCAAUAUGGAUUCAGAACCAACAGAUCAACAUUACUUGCAGUAAUAUAAUCAGUUGAGGAAAUAACAAACGCCAUUGAACAGAAAAAAUAUGCAGUAGGGGUAUUUAUUGAUAUCAGAAAAGCUUUCGAUACAAUCAAUCAUGACAUUUUAUUUGAUAAAUUGGAAAGGUAUGGAAUAAGGGGGAUAGUAUUGGAUUGGGUUAAAAGCUAUUUGAGCAAAAGACAGCAGUUUGUGAAGUUGGGGAAUUGUUCUUAACAUGUUUGGACAUUGCUUGUGGCGUCCCUCAGGGGUCAGUGUUGGGUCCUAAACUGUUCAUAUUGUAUAUUAAUGAUAUUUGUAAUGUUUCAAAUGUCUUGAGGUUGGUUUUGUUUGCUGAUGACACUAAUAUUUUCUGUUCUGGGGAGAAUUUAAAACAACUAGAAAACUUCACUAAGGAAAUGAGCAAAAUAAAAACAUGGUUUGAUACAAACAAACUAUCAUUAAACUUAAGCAAAACAAAAUUAAUGUUAUUUGGUAACUGCAGAAAGAACACAGAAAACAUAUAAAUAUAAAUGGAGUUGAAAUUGAAAGAGUUUACGAAAAUAAAUUUCUUGGGAUUAU